AUUUUUUUUUUUUUUUUUUGGGCCAGUCUGUCCAGCAAUGACAAUAAUAUUAGCAGUAACUAUAUUCGACCUGACACUAACUAAAGGAAAGGUUUACGAGGUUAAUGUCCACCAUGCAUCUAAGAACUCUAUUUUGGUCACUUAGUAAUUCCUGGACCUUCUUGCACCUAACACUAAGCGUUAUAAUGAUCACCAAUGGAUACAAUAAACAGAUUUGACCUAGCAAGACACGCACAAAGUUGUCACUAUUUCAUUUAGUGACCAAUAUCGAGCUAAAUCAUUUGGAGGCUUGUAGAGUGAAGUCACCCCCCCCCCCCACCC